AAUGUGUUUUACUUCCGUCUCCUGUUUAAAAAUAGUCUCACACACACAAAAUUACAGUUUAACCGUUGUUUUGUGUGACUGGGAAACUGAUCUGUCGCCCUGAGGAAAGAGCGUUGAUUGAUGGUGUCACAGAACAAAGUACUUAAGGGAAUAUUUGGGCCUAAGAGAAAGGAAGUAACAGGAGGCAGCAGAAAAGUGGAUGAGGGCCUUGUAAUACUUCAGCAAUUAUUACUAAGGCAUCAAAUCAAGAAGGGCGAGAUGGAUAGAACAUGUAGCACGCGUGAGAGAAAUGAGAAAUGACAUACAGAAUUUUAGUCAGAAGCAUGAAGGAAAGGAACAACUUGGGUGAUCAAGACGUAAUUGGAAGGAUGCAAUGAAUGUGGAUCAUAAAGAUACAGGGUAUGGGGCAGUGGACUGCGUUGAUCUCUCGGAACAGAGUCCAGUAUCAUGUCCUUGUUCACCUCCUCCAUAUAACGCUGGAAAUCUGUUGACUAGCUUCUCCACCACUAUGCUCUAUGGAGAUGGGUUUUGUCUUCGUCUUAAACUACCAAAGAAUAGAUAUAAAAAUAAUGACUUCUAGGAGGACGAAAGGAAGGUUGCUAAAAGCAUGGCUUUGUUAACAACCGACUGUGAACACGUGACCCGUAAGUACCUUGUGAAGCUUGUGAAGUACCGGCGACAUGAACGGGAGGGGGCUUGCGUGGCGUGUGUGAAGCGAAACUUUGGACUUCGACAUCGGACUCCAGCCAGACUGAAGUAUUGAUUCGCUAAGGUUACCGGUAGACGCCCCACAACAUCGGUAGAUACACUAUGCCGGCUGAAGGAAGAAAGAAAUCUAGAAAUUUACAGGAGACAGAGAGAUCAGAAAAUAUUUGGGACCAUCAUGAAUUAUGUGAGCAACGCAGUAUAUUAAACAACGAAGUUUCCAUGGCGCUGAUUCUGUAGGGUUCUUCUGGGUUCUAUUAAAGCCUGCUUCUUGCUUGAUUUACUCAUCAGGCCUGAAGAUGGUGGCAAUAUUUUCCUUCUAAACGUCAGGGUUAUCAGGAUUACAAGGCAUUACAAUCCAAAAAACUUUACUCUUCACCAAGUAAAAGAAAAAACGCUGACAUAGUGCAUCACUGUACAACCAGAAAAAAAAAAACCUGUAUAAAAGUAAGGAGUACAUGCACAGUAAGAAGAAAUAUGUCCUGGAUGGUAUUAAAUUUUUUGUUGGUCUAGUGCCUCCAAAUAUGGUGUCUGUUGACCUCCUGGCUUCUGUCCAUCUAAGCAAGGUAACAGAAUUGUUUCCAAGGUGAGGUACCUGUAAGGCUGAUAGGGAGAUAAUGGGAGUGAUACUCACCGGGGAGACCUAUAGCUUAAUGUGAGCUAUAAACCACAGGAAGAUACUCUGAACCCUCUGAAUGGGAGUCCUGUGUCUCACCCCUAGACCUCAAGGUCCCCUGAUAUCAGAUUUUCAUCAGAAGGAAACUGUGUCCUUAAAAUGGAUACUAAUAAAUUGUCAUAUACUACAAAGGAGGGGGCUAAAGGUUGAAAUAUGUAUACAAAAAGUUUAUUUUUUAUUUCAUACCUCCAUACUGAGAGCCUGUUCCUGUAAAAAAAUAGUUUGAUUGUUCUUACAGCAGACAACGCUGGCUGCUAAAUAAUUGGUGCUCAGUGUGUGGCUGUCAUAUGCAUAUCACAUAACAUUAAUUGACAAAAUAAAUUUUAAUUUUGAACUUUUCAGGAUGAAAUUUUUGUGCCUUCUUUUCUUCCUUUGAUGCCUGUAUAUGAUGUGUAUAUUAUAACUCUAUAUGAAGUGCCACUUUAUGCUGGCCAAGCAUGCCCCUUUUUGUGACAAACUGACAUUUUCCUUAUAGGAGUGGCCUGUGAGCAGAGACACAUAGUUUUCAGAGAAUACAUCCUGUUGAGUAUCGCAUAUUAUUUCUUACUGAAAACCGUCAUAACACAACACUCAAUAAUACGUGCAUCCAGACUGAAUGGAGGAUUCUUCACAUCUUGACUAAACAUUUUAGCCACAAGAGACAAGUUACAAGUGACUUAAAAUAUAUCAGU